AUGGAUUUAGAACUUGAAGAGAUGGCAAUGAGGUAUGACGCAACCGGCGAUACGUCUCAUUUGUCGGCCGUAGGACAUGUGGGGGGUGGGGGCAUGUAUGCAGAAGGUUGUUUAGACAUGCGGGAAAUGUGUGUUGGCAUAGAUAGAACUAGGCGUGUGUUAAUUGCAGCUGAUGCAUGGGGGCAUAGCAUGGCUAAUGCUCUAUAUCAGGCAGCACAGAUAAAUGUUUCGAACGAAUCAGGUCUAGAUGAGAUGGUGGGGCUAGAGGCGCCAGGAGAUUUAGACACUAGGGGUGUGUUGUAUGUGGGGGCAAACACACGAAAGGUACUUAACGCUGUCGGGGGGUGGUUGGAUAGUGCACAAGAGAGUCUAUACAUAUCAGCGCAGAUCGAUGUACUGCAUGGGUCGCAAUGUGAUGAAGGGAUUGGCGAGGGUUUUCAGGACCCCCCGGCUGUGGCAGGGGUCCCUAUAGAGUCGAAUAUACAGGUCGGUGGGGGCGGUGUGGUGGGUGGUGGCGGUAGUGGCGUGGGGGGCGGUAGCGGUAGUGGCGUGGGGGGCGGUGGCGGUGGUGACGGUGAUGGUGGUGGCGUGGGAGGAGGCGAUGGUGGUGGUGAUGUUGAUGGUGAUGGCAGUGGUGACGGUGAUGGUGGUGGUGACGGUGAUGGUGGUGCUGCUGAUGCUGAUGAUGGUACACCUGUGCCUGCUGUAACGGGGGAAGAUAAUGACGAGUUGCAUACCAGAUUAUUUCCCCAUUUUAACGGCUUUGAGGUUAGACAGGCCAUUGAUCUGAGAAGUAUAUCCCUUGCAAAUUUACAGGAGGUCCCUGAUUUGAUCAGGGAGAGGCUGUCGGGUGUCAUAACGAGCUGCUCACAAAGUUCAGCCGAUGGUAGUGUCUUAAACGUGGUGCUGAGAGGCCCUUCAUUGGCCUCUGAUGUACAGACUGUGCUCGUAUCGGGUGACGACUACAAUGCGGAUUUGUUUAUGGACCAUAUUAGCCAAGUCAUGCAAAGUAACGACACAGGUCUGACGGAUGACGUGCUAGAGUUGGUGGUCACAGGGGUCCACAACAAGCGGGGUGGGGCACGUUUGAAGUUAAAAAACAUUCCCUAUGAUGAAAUCAUAUACAAGAAGAAGCUAAGUCUCUACACCCCGAGUAAUACUCAUAACAAUUUGUGUUUCUCACUAUGCAUAACACAUUUUCUGCAUGAAGGGGUAACCGGGGGUGACACAGCGUCCGAAGAGACUAAUUUGGAGGCGGCUCGCAAAUUACACAGUGAUCUGGGGUUUGACCCGGAUCACUCUGUGGGUUUCUCGGAUGUAUCCAAAUUUGAGAGACAUCUAGAUGUUAAAAUCCUGAUAUUUCAUCAUAAUGACACAUUCAGGAAGCUGGAGAUGUUCCAGACACAUACAGCCCAGCAUCCUAAAGCAGUAUGGCUGUACCUCCAUGAUAACGAUUACCAUUGCAUAGAGAACAGAACGGCAUUCUUUGGUACGGGAUAUGUGUGUGAAUAUUGUUACAAGGCCCAUGAGGGAAUUCUAUUCCACAAAUGCCCGAUCCAUUGCAAUGUGUGUCUGACAGUGUGCGAUAGACUAGCAGGUCGUACGAUAAAGUGCAAGGACUGCAGUCGUAUAUGCCGCUCGCAGGUCUGCUACAACACACACAAGAAGCAUUCUGCCAAACAUGACAUGAUACCUUGUGAAAAGCUCAAAUACUGCGAUCGUUGUUGUAGACAGUAUAUCAUACCGAAGAAGAAGAAGAAGGGGGUGGGGGAGGGGGAGGAGGAGGAGGAGGAGGAGAAGGGUGACGCUAAUGGUCAUGUAUGCAGCGAUGCAAAGUGUCGUAAGUGUGGGGAGCCGAUGCCCGAAGAGGGAGUACAUGAUUGCUAUAUCCAGCCGUACGACAAGAAAAAGAAAAAGAAACGCAGGAGUGGUCCAUCGGAUGACGAUGAUGACGACGCUCCACCUAAUAAAUACAUAUACUAUGAUUUCGAAACGCGCGUGCAUGAUGGUCGUCAAGAAGCAAACUGUGACAAUGGCUGCUUGCGUUUCCUCCUUUUAUCAGACGAGACAGGGACGGAGGCCAUCGCAUUGUCGUCCGUAGUGACGGGACUAUGCUUAUACAUGUUUACAGUUUGUCUGAGCUGCUUAUUAGGGAUAGACGAUAGUGGUAUAUUAUUACUGGCUAAAGAUUUCAGAAAUACAUUCCAGCCCUGUGGUCUGACAGAUUCGACAACAUGGUAA
ensembl:lncRNA